ensembl:miRNA
CUUGAACUCACUUUGUAGCCCAGGUUGGCCUCAAACUCGCAGUGAUCCUCCUGCCUCAGCCUCCUGAGUGCUGGAAU